UGGCAAGGGAGCCUUUUUGUAUAUAUUUAUUGGAAUGUAAUUGUGCACUAAAAACAGAAGGUCAUUCUUUUGAUAGGCUUUCUUUUGAAUUAUACUAAGUUAUGCAUUGGUACAAAAAGGCAUGCUUUGGCACAGGCUAUAUAUAUGAAACUUAAAUGAAGAGGUUCAGCAAAGUAUCCAUUCAACACUAAGGCGUCGCUAUAAUCACUUUAUCAGCUUUCAAUAAGCCCUUUAUCGCUUUAGAUCAAUUAAAUUACCAUCAAUAAAGGAGGAUAUACAAUUGACCAUCCUCCAAACAGUGUAGUUAAUUGGACACUAUAGG